rnacentral:misc_RNA from 1 species
GCAAACUUGGUCAUUUAGAGGAAGUAAAAGUCGUAACAAGGUUUCCGUAGGUGAACCUGCGGAAGGAUCAUUAGCUGGGUUGCGUGCGCUAGCACGCCAGUACUGACACUGCGAACUGGGAUGCUUAGCAGCGGGAGUGUGGGUGAGCGUGUUCACAACAGUCGUGAGUGCGAUGCGUGCUCACACAACAGUCGUGUCCACACACACACCCGCUGCACCAACACUAGCCAACACUAGCCAACCAUCACGAACUACACACAACCACACACACACAACCACAACCACACAACCACAACCACACAACCACAACCACACAACUUUUAGCAAUGGAUCUCUAGGCUCCCGCAUCGAUGAAGAACGCAGC